CAGAGUAUUAUCCAAUUGCUGGGAAAACAAUUGGUAAACUGUCCUUUAUAACAUGUGACAUUGUAAUUGGCAUGAAAUUCACUUAUUCAUUCUAACUUGAUAGAUAUUUGUGUUGUUUCCUUUUUGUUUGUCUGGAUAUUUAUGAAUAGGGCUACGAUGAACAUUCUUUCCCAGAUCUUUUAGUAUAAAUAAGCAUUCAGAUAAGUGUAGAAAUAAAUGACAAUUAAUGAAUCGUGCUGCCAAAUUACUUAUUGACUCAGUCUGCGCCCAAGGGAAAAACAGAAGCCGCACAGUAAUUUGAACAGGAAAAUUACACAGUUUUUAACAUAGAAGAUUUAAGUAAUGCGGGAAUUGCUUCUUAAGAGGUAAUGCGAACUGUGAAGAAUAUAGGAACAGCAGAUAUGAGAAGCAACCAAUAUUCCAAGGAAAAGCUAUGUCUCUGAGGAUAAGAUCGAGGAUGUGCCUGUGGCUCUUGGAUGGCAAAGAAGUUGCUGUGGUACCAUGUUAAUGGAGCUGGCUGGAAGUCUGCCCUCAAGUAUGCCAGGGAAGGCUGUUCAUGAGAAACUUCUCUGGAGGAGCCGAGUCCCCUGGAUAAGCUGUGGGAAUAGCAGGAACCGCGUGUGGGAGGAAGCCAUAUAUGCCUCAGGAACUUGCCAAUUUGAACGGCGAAGAUGUCCAAGUCCAUGCUAACAGAAAGGAGCAGAUCUCAGGAACCUGAAGAAACUGGCACACAAUAGAAUCUAUAAAAGUUCAGAAAUGGAGGUCAUAUAUGUCUCUUUCAAGGGAUUUCAUGAGACUUACCAAAUCAACUGGACACCAAAGUUUGGCCAAGAUAACACAUAAAAUUAGCCAUCACAAAGACUAAAUGAAGGAGAUUGGAUGCUGCCUACCCACAUUGAAGAUGGACCUUUCCCAAUUAAUCCAUCAGACUGGGAAAUACAGAAAGGAGAAUAAAAAGAAAAAGAAACGAAAAUCCACCCAGUCUCCCACACUAAUCUCUUCUGGAAACAUUCUCACAGACACACCCAAACAUAGUGCUUUACCAGGUUUUUAGGUACUCCUUCCAGUCAAAUCAACACCUAAAAUUAAUCUUUACAAGCCCAACCCUUGUCAACUGGCAUCCAUACACAUCUUCCUAAGCCAUACUCUUCAAAUAAAAACAAUAAUAAAGUAUUAGUUUUGCUUAACAUGAAGCUCUGUAAAACCAAAAACUCAUUAGUCCUGUCUUCAGAAGAGGAGGUACUCUUUGAGUGAUGUUUACUCUUCUCCUGAUAUCCCCUUUCUUAAAUACAAUGACAUAAAAUUAACAAUACUUAAAUACUUAUAUAAAUGCAAUUAAUAUUAUGUUAUGAUAAAGCAAUGAGAGAAGCAAAACUAAAGAUAUUUGCUUAAUAUAUGUACACAUAUGCACAGAUGUAUUCCUAACAAAACCAGGAGAAAAUACUUAGAACAAAUUACAGUCCUCAUUUCUGCAACUGGUCAUCUGAUUGUAGCUGGUAUUUAUAACUAUCUUCUUCUACUAUUCAUUCUGUAUUCCCUUUGUCUCCAGCAAGCACCUUAGCCAGUCAUGGUUCUUUACCUGGUGGGGUGACCCAAGGCUGCAUUCCUGAAGAGUCUGAGCUAUUCAUAGUCUUGCCUGAAUUGGAUUAUUACAGUUUCCCAUUGACCUUAAUCACACAGCAUAAUUGUAAGAUUCUCCCUGGGGCCUGAAAGCUUAAGGGGAUGAGUAACUCCUGCCUUCUCAGGCCCGGUCUUCAAAGUGUAAGGCCACUUGCAUCAGCAGCAUGUGUCAGUAAGAUAGCAAAAGCAGGAAGAGAGCCAGUCAGAAGACAGCUACCCUGGCUGGAAGACACGUACCCCUGAAGAUCGAGAAAGGCCAUCCGCGUACCACACAGCAGUUACGUCAGACUAGGACACUUCCUGUUUACAAGAGACUAUAAAAUCUUUGCCCCGUCUUCACUUGGGGCUGACGCCAUUUUAGACCUCAGCCCGCGUGCACCCAGGCACUCAUUAAAACAGCGUGUUACUCCACACUGCCUUGUGUUGUCUGUUGGCACGCUCUCAGGGUUUGAACGGAUAGAAGAACCUUACAAUAAUAGUACAAGACAAGCCCUAAGGGAUCUUCUGUAUUUCAGACAUGCUAUUUCUUACCUACAUUGUGGAAUAAUAGUCCAAUAUUUCCUUUGUAGUCCAGGUAAAUCACCCCAGCCACCACCAUAAUUCCUUUCUUAGCCUGUUGUCUCAGAGGAGCCCAAAGUGGCAAAGUGGCAGCCUUACAUUCCAGUUAAAUGGAAUCAUUGUUGUUUCUCCUGAUGGAAGCAUCCCUCUCUUUCGAAGUAAGACCCCUAGGCCAGCAGUAUAUAAAGCUGUGGGAACAGGGAAUAAAAAAUUUGCUAAUACAUCACUAGGGUCAAUUGUGAGUGGUUUCAUUUUUAUUGCACCCCUUGAUUCCUGGACCCCUGAAUCCUGGUUAUGGGAGAAAGAGUACUAUGUAUCGGGAGCCGAUUUAGAGCACAUGAAGCCUUCUAA
rnacentral:lncRNA from 10 species